AGGUAGCCCUGAUAGCAAUGAAAAUACUUUGAAAAGAAAUUGCCAUUUUUACUGACACGAUAAAGCGACCAAAGGAAGCUCUUAUUGUGGCUUGUAAAAAGCAAUUUAUUGAGAAAGUAUUGCAAUGAAUAGCAGGAAUAUGC
rnacentral:sRNA from 1 species